rnacentral:lncRNA from 1 species
CUUGAUCCCAGCGCAACUUGGUUGAUUCAUGAAGUUCGAAUUUGAUGAAAUUUAUCAAAAAGAAUGUCAAGUUUCAGAAUGCUAUAAAAGUCUCCUCGAUGCUAAGAAUUUGUUAUCUUUCGACGUUUCUGUCUCAUCUCUUGUAAUUUGUGCAGAUUGUGGUUGUAUUUCUGGGUAUCAGAUUUGUACAGUGCUUUACUGAUUUGUUGACACAUACCAAGUCAUUUACCAUUGUCUUCAUACUCAUACUACUAGUUUCUUAUAUAAUUCUGCUACUUUUGUUGCAUUAUGCAAGAAAGAAAACUUAUUUUUCUUGUUUCUCAAACAUUCUUGUAAACUCACAUUUUAGAUUGUCCAAAUGAGCCACAUGACAACUAAUGCCUAUUGACUAUACUUAAAU